UGCUUGGAAAGUCCUUUUUAAGGUGACUAGAAAAUAUAAUUGGCAACAAUUUAAAGGAGAAUAGGCAUUUCAGAACAGAACAUACAAAACACAUUUUAGAAGUCCUUAAAUUUACAGACAUGAAAUUCAUAAAACAAAGUUUUAUGUGAGAGAUAAGGAGAGGAAGUAGAAUAUAUUUAUCGAGUAGUAUAGGUAAAAGGAGC